CAACGCGAAGAACCUUACCAGGUCUUGACAUCCCGAUGCUAUUUCUAGAGAUAGAAAGUUACUUCGGUACAUCGGUGACAGGUGGUGCAUGGCUGUCGUCAGCUCGUGUCGUGAGAUGUUGGGUUAAGUCCCGCAACGAGCGCAACCCUUGUCAUUAGUUGCCAUCGAUUGGUUGGGCACUCUAAUGAGACUGCCGGUGACAAACCGGAGGAAGUGGGGAUGACGUCAAGUCCUCAUGGCCCUUAUAGGUGGGGCUACACACGUCAUACAAUGGCCGGUACAGAGGGUAGCCAACCCGCGAGGGGGAGCCAAUCCCACAAAGCCGGUCGUAGUCCGGAUCGCAGUCUGCAACUCGACUGCGUGAAGUCGGAAUCGCUAGUAAUCGCGGAUCAGCAUGUCGCGGUGAAUACGUUCCCGGGUCUU
rnacentral:rRNA from 1 species